AACCCCAGCCUAGUGCACGCCCAGAGCAUCCUGGCCAUCUGGGCUUCCCAGGUGAUUUUGAUGGGAGCUGUGGAGGGUUACCGUGUUGCUGGAGGACCCCUGGGCGAGGUGACAGACCCCAUCUACCCCGGAGGCUCAUUCGACCCCUUGGGUUUGGCUGACGACCCCGACACCUUCGCAGAGUUGAAGGUGAAGGAGAUUAAGAACGGACGAUUGGCCAUGUUCUCGAUGUUCGGGUUCUUCGUCCAGGCGAUCGUGACCGGAAAGGGCCCAUUGGAGAACCUGAGCGACCACUUGGCCGACCCAGUUGCCAACAACGCAUG
rnacentral:lncRNA from 1 species